AGUGAACGCUGGCGGCAGGCCUAACACAUGCAAGUCGAGCGGCAGCGCGUCCGACCACCCUCGGGUGGUCGGAUGGCGGCGAGCGGCGGACGGGUGAGGAAUGCAUCGGAAUCUGCCUCGUUGUGGGGGAUAACGUAGGGAAACUUACGCUAAUACCGCAUACGACCUACGGGUGAAAGUGGGGGACCUUCGGGCCUCACGCGAUGAGAUGAGCCGAUGCCGGAUUAGCUAGUUGGCGGGGUAAAGGCCCACCAAGGCGACGAUCCGUAGCUGGUCUGAGAGGAUGAUCAGCCACACUGGAACUGAGACACGGUCCAGACUCCUACGGGAGGCAGCAGUGGGGAAUACUUGGACAAUGGGGGCAACCCUGAUCCAGCCAUGCCGCGUGUGUGAAGAAGGCCUCGGUUGUAAG
rnacentral:rRNA from 1 species